GAUGAACGCUGACAGACUGCUUAACACAUCAGCAAUUGAUUGGUGGCGGCCGGGUGAGUAACGCGUAAAGAACUUGCCUCACCGCUAGGGACAACAUUUGGAAACGAAUGCUAAUACCUACUACUGUGAGAGAGCUUUGCGUCCCAUUAGCUAGUUGGAGAGGUAACGGCUCACCAAGGCGAUGAUGGGUAGCCGGCCUGAGAGGGUGAUCGGCCACAAGAGGACUGAGACACGGCCCUUACACCUACGGGAGGCAGCAGUGGGGAAUAUUGGACAAUGGACCAGAGUCUGAUCCAGCAAUACGGUGUGAACGAUGAAGAUUUCGGAAUGUAAAGGGCUGUCAGUUGGGAAGCGGUACCAACAGAAGAAGUGACGGCUAAAUACGUGCCAGCCGCCGCGGUAAUUC
rnacentral:rRNA from 1 species